CCUGAGUACAAAGCUCGGUCAGGUAUCUCAACAUCUUCUAUAUGUCAAUGCUCGACUCCAGCAAUUGUUGCGAUGGAGUCUCGACUGGAGGAGCAGAGGCGACUGCUAGAUGAGAAGUUGGAGGAGAGGUUGGCGGAGGAGAGGCGACUAGCGGAUGAGAAGAGGGCGGAGGAGAGGCGACUAGCGGAUGAGAGGAUGCAACAGUACUUUGCAAUGUUUGCGGCUUAUUGUACCCAGAAUGGUAUGCCCGCUAUGCAGAUGCCUGAUAUUGCUUCGCCCCCU